CGGGCUGGUGCCGUCAACGCGUCCGCCCGUCGUGCCGAGCGUGCGUGUGUGUGUGAGACUGUUGUUGUUGUUGUGCUGCCCGCCCACCGCCAGCCCAAAACGCCCACUGACAGCCACCACCGCUGCUGGGCGGGGCUCAGGUGGCCCAUACCUGAUGGAGAGGGCGAGGGUGGCCACCUGUCUUAAGCGUCAAGGUGUCCUUAAUGAUCAGCAGCCUUUGGAAAGAAUAACAACAGCGAUCGGUUGUGUCGAAGUCAUAUACGUAUGUAUGAAGUGCAUCGUGUCCUCAGGUAUAUAGAUGAUAGCAGAGGAAUUGGGUGAAAGCGAGCGAGCGACAGAGCCACCAUCCUCAGCGGGCGGUGCCCCCGGUCGUGUUACCCGAAGAGAAAAUCAGAUUGAGAUGAAAACAGAAGGCAAAAUCGCAGCAGCUGCUGAGGCCAUUUUUCCUCUCCUGCCCCUCAAGUAGCUCUACUGCUACUGCUACUGCUACUGCUGCUGUUGCCUCUGCUGUGUUUAUUGUUACUGCUGCUGCUGUUGCACAUCCUUCUCUCUAUUCUAUACCACGACAGCCAGUUGCACUCUCUCUCCUCCCUCAGUGCCUCCAUCUACUGGACCUCCUCCCCCCAUCCUCCCAUCCCAAUCCCAAUCCCAAUCCCACAGCAGUCGAGGUUUUCUCCUCUCUUUCUCUCUCUCCUUUCCUCUCUGUCGCCUCUCAGUCUCUCUCAUUUUCAUUUCUCUCAUUUGUGUUCGGGAGUGAAAUGCGUAUUAUUUUCAAAGUGUGGUGUAUUCAACAUGGCCCUCUGCCUGUGCCCGUCCACAGCGCCCACAUUCCUCCGCCCACCACACACCCAUCAGUGCACCGCUGAGCCGGCAUCAGCAAGAGGCCGCCGGUGGCCCCGGUGUGUGUGAGGGCGUGAGAGGCGGGGAAAGGAGAAGAGGAGGAAAGAGAGAGAGAGAGAGAGAGAGAGAGAGAGAGAGAGAGAGAGAGAGAGAGAGAGAGAGAGAGAGUGAGUGAGAAAGAGAGAGAAGGCCACCCACCACUGAAACCCGCCCACCGUGGAUCGGGGUGUGAGUGAGAGUGAAGUGUUGUUGUUGUUCUUGCUGUUGAGGAGGAGGAGGAGGAGAAGGAGGAGAGGAAGAAUAAGAAGAAGAAGACGAAGAAGAAGAAUAAGGAGGGGUGAGGUGGAGGGAAGGGCCUAAGGAGAAGAGUAGCAGGGUUGUUGGUGGCAGCAGCAGCAGCAGCAGCAGCAGCAGCAGGAGUGAUCGUUGUCAAACCCCGAGGAAGAAUGGGUUAGUGACACCCAGUGGGUAAUGUGUGAGUGCAUCCGAGUGUUAUGAGGGGCCCCGUUGGUCACCUACUGCUGUAGCUGCCCCCACCCGUCAUCAUCAGGCGUCUGGCAGCCAUGUCCAUGUCCUUCUUCACGUUCCCCGUGCCCCGAUUCUUGUUCCGGGGCUCCGGCGAAGCGAGAGACGACAAAUCGCUCCAGCAAUCCCGACAGCAGAAGGAUUCGAAAGCCAACAAGCCCUACGACUCUGCCGACCACCAUCACCUCUCUGGGUCACUACCCAAGCUAAGUAGCCAAGACGAUGACGGCCCAAAUCCUCAGACCUUCAUUGGGACGGGAAACUUCGAACCCAUUCCUCACGAUCACGACUUCUGUGAGAGAGUCGUAAUAAAUGUGAGCGGCCUCCGGUUCGAAACUCAACUACGAACCCUAAACCAAUUCCCGGAUACCCUAUUAGGAGAUCCGGCGCGAAGGAUCCGAUACUUCGACCCCCUUCGAAAUGAAUAUUUCUUCGACCGCAACCGGCCAAGUUUCGACGCCAUCCUAUACUACUAUCAAAGCGGUGGAAGGCUUAGAAGACCCGUCAAUGUGCCUCUCGACGUCUUCGCCGAGGAGAUCAAGUUCUACGAGCUCGGAGAUGUCGCCAUCAACAAAUUCAGGGAGGAUGAGGGCUUCAUCAAAGAAGAGGAACGACCGCUUCCGGAGAACGAAUUCCAGCGGAAAGUGUGGCUCCUGUUCGAGUACCCGGAGAGCUCGCAGAACGCCCGAGUGGUUGCCAUUAUUUCAGUGAUUGUUAUCCUCUUAUCCAUUGUGAUCUUUUGCCUUGAGACCUUACCGGAAUUCAAGCAUUACAAGGUGUUCAAUACCACGACCAAUGGGACCGUGGUGGAAGAGGACGAAGUCCCCGAAGUGACCGACCCCUUCUUCCUCAUAGAAACCAUUUGUAUCGUUUGGUUUUCGUUCGAGCUUUUAGUGAGAUUUUUCGCAUCGCCACUGAAAGGAGCCUUUAUGAAGGAUGUCAUGAACAUUAUCGACAUAGUGGCUAUCAUUCCUUAUUUUAUCACCUUGGCAACGGUGGUGGCCGAAGAGGAUCAUGCGCCCAUGGUCAUCCCCGCCGAAACUCUCUCUCCGCACGAAAAGGGGUCCAAGCAAGCCAUGUCCUUAGCCAUUUUAAGAGUCAUUCGACUGGUGAGAGUUUUCAGAAUAUUCAAAUUGUCUCGCCACUCCAAAGGUCUUCAGAUCCUGGGUAGAACGCUCAAGGCCUCUAUGAGAGAACUCGGCUUGCUCAUAUUCUUCCUGUUCAUCGGUGUGGUACUCUUCUCAAGUGCUGUGUACUUCGCCGAGGCAGGCUCAGAAAAAUCCUUCUUCAAGUCUAUUCCUGAUGCCUUCUGGUGGGCGGUCGUCACCAUGACUACUGUGGGCUAUGGAGAUAUGACGCCUGUGGGUGUGUGGGGUAAGAUUGUUGGGUCACUAUGCGCCAUCGCUGGUGUGCUUACGAUCGCCCUUCCAGUACCCGUUAUUGUGUCAAACUUCAAUUACUUCUACCAUCGGGAAACCGACCAAGAAGAGAUGCAAAGUCAAAACUUCAACCACGUCACCAGUUGUCCGUACUUACCUGGCACUGUUGGCCAGCACUUGAAGAAGGACUCCUUGUCUGAGUCCUCCUCCGACAUCAUGGAGCUGGAGGAAGGAAUCCUUUUGCAACACGACCUUAGUAAAAAGCAGAACUGCAACCCGCGCCACAACAAUAACAUAAAUGCUAUGAGUAUCGAAACUGACGUCUGACACUUGUUACAGCGAAGUGUUGGAUGUGGCGGAUAGAGGAGAUGCCAGUGUAAAUGAUGCAGGAGCAGGGAGCGGAUGUCAGUUUGAGAACGUCUGACGAAAUAACGGUUUUGGAUACAAAGAGGGGCCAGUUACAAGACAGAAGAACAAGAUGCCAGUAGUUGGAUGGGUUAAAAAGGUUGGAGAAAGUUACGUGGGUUUCGAUACCUCGGCAAAAUGAACACGAACAGAUCUUUGGAUUUUUCUCUUAACUGUCGAUGGCCGAAUUUACUGUAGUAAUGAAUAUUGACGGCGAAAGUCCGGACAAUUGAUGCCAACUAUAAAGACGGGUUAUACGGGAAAUAGGUGGCAGGAAGGAGUUGAGUAGUGCCAACACUUAAAAAAGCACCCAGCAACCAUACAAUCGGCCAAGCUGCUGUGCCAUCCUCAUCGUACGGGGAGCCUCGUAACGAAGAAAUGCAGCUUUGAGAAGCACUAGGGGUCAGAGUGGGUCAGGAGGUAAAAUAAAAAUAAAAAUACUAAAAAAAAGGCCAGCAAGAGAGUAUUAUAAAAUGGCGGGAAGAGACGCACACACAUUCGUGAAGUUAAAGAAGCUUGUCAGAUCGCCUUUGUACAACUUUGAGAGAAGCUGUUGUUAUCUGUUAUCUCUUAUAUUAGUUCAAGAAAAUUGCCUUAUAAUUUACUCUAGAUCAAAUAUGCCAGUGAGACUGAGUUCAGAACGACAAUCAAGAACUUUAAGACAAUGUUCAGGUCAAAUUAGAACCUCAAACAUUCAUUUUAUUCAUUUCAACUUUUUACAAAUGCUUUGAAAAUGUUUAUGAAGUCCAAAUGUAUAAUUUUCCUGUUAAUCUUAGUUUAUUUCACAAUGUAAAGAAAAUGAUUCAAUGCAACUGUGAUCCCAGUGGAAACUCAGUAUAACAAGGCCUAUGCUCCUGACUUAGCAAGACCUCGUCAAUAGUGCAAAACGAGAAAUCAAAACAGCGUAAGAGAGAAAGGCUGCAAGAUGGACUUAGAAAUGUUCAAUAUAUUGUACAUGUGAUAUCCUUAACCUAAAUAGUGGAAGAAUGAGUAUUUCUAGAAAAUAUUUCAAAUAUAACCAGAGUUGUUUUUAUAUGCUGUAAUACAAUUGAUUGGCUUUCAAAUUUGUGUGGUAAUAGUGAAUGUUGCUGAGAAGUGUGUAUGAGAUACGAUAGACCAUUUUAAGCCUUGAGUUUUUGGUUUUGGUGUUGUAUUUUCUACGAAAAGAACUCCACUAAGGAAAAACUUGAGAGCUCAAAAUGGUUUAUCACUUCACAUAGUUUCCAAGAAGUGAUUAAAGUUUAAUUAGCUACGUAAACACGUUCUCAUGAAGGGUUUGCAAAUGUUUGAUCAUCAUCCUAUGAUCCCCCAUCGUGCCAGAGAAACCUUGUUACAUUCUGUUUUAGUCCUCCUUUCUCCUUUCCUAUCUAAAACGCCUAGUUUUCCCUUCCCCUCCCACCUAGGCAACCUUCUUACCAUUUUCCCUGCCGUCAGAGAGAAUCUAAGGUAUAUAAUACUCCCUGGCAUGGUUUCCUUCCAUCUAAAACUUUUAUCCCUAUGCUUUCUACGAAAAGGAGUAUCUGAAAGCAGUUCUUUAUUAUUUCAUUCAAAGAAAGAAUCCAUAUCUUCUUCAUAGCUCUGGUUCUUGGGUAAUCUCCCAGUUUCACGGGAUAUCACAAAAGCUAGAAAAUUCUCUGUUCAUACUCAGGAAUAUGUGCUUUACUGGAGUGCCCUGAAACUGAUACAUUACCCAAAGUUCAGAUACUAUUUUAGGAGCAUUACAAGGUAGUGGAUCCCAUAUCUUACUCCCCCCAGCUGCCCAGAGGCAUCAUUAAAAAUUUUUCCAAGGCCUUUUGAAUCCUGUUUUUAUGCCUUUUUGCGCCUUCUACAAAUUCUACGCUCUUCUCUGCUGCAGUAGUUCUAUGCCCUUCGAAGUAUUAUAACCAACUCUCUGGAACUGCUCUUCCCCGCCUUACUUUUGUCGGAUGCCAAAAUGUCACAGGGACGUUUAUGGUUGCAGUAUUUUUAUGGGCAGAUGGGGGUAGUUAUGGGUGGUAGGACUGAAAACCUUUUGGUAAACUUUUUCUUCUUAAUGACCCUUCCUAAUGUCAUUCCAUCUCCUACAUAAAUUAAAACUUUCCCAGGUUGAACAGCAAUAAAGCAUAACAGUUUAUUACAACCAUUCCUAGGGUUUGUUUUUUGUUCACUUUGCAUAAUAAUGUUUCAAAUAUUAUCUCUAUAACGCAUUUCAUAAUAUAUUGUUGUUCAACUGUUCCCCAACAUUACAUUCUCCUAUGUUACAAAGUUGAGUGUGGGUAUGAUGUUAAGAAGACCGUUACUGUGGAGAUAUGAUGUGCAAAGUCACAGUGCUGACAGCGAGUGAUAUUAAGGCCAAGGGGUUCCCCAGGGGCUUGGCCCCCUCUCAUAACCACCACUACCACCUGCUUCCACAACCCACCACCAGCAAAUCCAAGCCCCAAUGCGCAAUCACAUAGCAAAGGUAAUAGAAACUGGGAAGAGAGAAGAGAAGGAAAGCAAGAAACAUGUUAUAAACGAGUGUGUGUGCGCACUAAAAGACAGGGAGGAAAUAAAUUUUCAAAAGCAAAAUGAGCAACGAAUGACGCAGCUGCCGUGAUCAGACUGUUUCGUUACGACAAGCAAGUGGUGAUGUUUGUGCCUGAAGCAAAUUCUGCUGAAGCUUUACCAAGAAUGUACAUAUUCGUUAUUCUAGUGAUUCAUUAGUUAAUACUAAGAACAAUGGCCUGAAUGAAGGAGGGAGGAAAGACGCUAUAGAAAAAUAAGCAGCUGAUGUGUUAAAUACUUUGGAAGUUUAAGUGAAAGUGGUGGCAGUCGUGAGUGUGUGCUCGUAAACCUUAACUGUGAGAUAAAGUGUGUGCUAGGUUGACCAUAUGUUCCUCAAUAUGUUGAAGAGGAAUUUUUUUCAAACCGUCUUAUUCAAACCUGAACUUCAUAACUACAAUAUAAGAUAUACACCAGCACUGUUCUAAGUGUUGGAUAAUCUUCGGGUUGUUUCUUUUUGCCAUGUUUAUUGGAUGGUUUAAGAUAACAAUUCGGUGAGGUUGGUACCCCUGUGCGUGAAAAUGGCGCAGAGUAAAACAAAGGUUCUCAGACGUCACAAUCCUCUAGCAUCUUCAGGAAGCAGAAUUCCACAAAGUGCCACAAGGUGGUGCUUUCUUAAGCUCAACUUGAAGAUGUCUGAUUCAUGAUGCAUGGCGUAUAAUUACCUAGAAGAAAGUAUGUGAGAUGGUCAGGCUGGAAAACAGAACAAGGUGAAUUUGAAAUAUUCUUAACAUUAUUCAUCAAAUUAAAAAUAAAUUCGUUUACUAUCAAUGUUUAAUACCAGUCAAAUUUGAAACGUACAUGAAGAGUGAGGUUUCUAAAACAAGAAUAAAAUAAAUGAAACCUGUUGAGCAAUAAACAGAGGGGACAGAAAUGAAAGAAAAGUGGGCAACAAAACAGGAGUGGAGUAACAAACAGAAAAUAAAAUAGAUAUUGUCCACAAGGAGCAGCAGCAGACCUAAGCAGGAUCAGGUGUGAAGAAGUUUCCGUCACUGGCACAUUAUCCUCUCCAUGAGAGCCUCAUCCCCUCUCCGCUGAAGGAGGUGCCGCCCCGCCCUAUCACUCAGGAAGGAUGGUCCUAAUUACUGUAAAAGCAUAACUAUCUGGAAUUUCAAUUAGUCUUGGUCAUCCAGUCCCUGGAAAGGAGACUACUUGAAAUCAAUGAAAUUGGUGAAUUACCAUAAGGCCCGAUUUGUGAUGUAAGAACUCCUUAAGAUGAUUUUGCUUUCAUAGUUACAGUUCAGUUAAAGAAAAAAAGCAUGGCCGCAGUUUUUUUUAGAUGUCUUAGACAUGACAAUAUAUAUAUAUAUAUAUAUAUAUAUAUAUAUAUAUAUAUAUAUAUAUAUAUAUAUAUAUAUAUAUAUAUAUAUAUAUAUAUGUAAUUUACAUAAUAUUUAUACAUAUAAUGAAUGUAAGAAAGAUUUUGAACUCUUCUGCAUCUGCAAAUGACAAAAAAAAAAUAUUGGGUAGACUAGUAAUAGCUCACGAAAACCUGUAAGAAAAGGUUUGGUACUGUUCUUGCUUCAAUAGGCCUAACAUAGCAAAUUAGAAAUAAUGAUCCUUCCUAAGCAAAAGAACAGAAUCUUAUGGUGUUCUUACAUUUGCAAAGCUAAUCAUGUCCAUCCUCUGUGCAGUCAGUUGCACAUUGAGAGCGUGGAUGGCAUACGAAGGAUGUCACUGGAACGGACCUCGACACGAGUCAUUGAAACUACGUAUUUGAAGCUGCAGAUAUAAUUCUGAGGAGAGUACAGUAUACUAAUAAGGAUGAUGAUGGUAAUCAUAAUUUACAUGAUAAAGUAACAUCAAUAGUACUAAGAAGAAAGUGAUCCGAUUAAAUAGAAAAUAGAAAUAAAUGUGAAUCAAAACUGCUUGUCUGAGAUUGCCAGAGAGUGAGAGUGGAAGAGAGAGAGUUCAAAAGAGAAUAAGAGAGAGAGCGAGAGAGAGAGAGAGAUUCGGAAGUACACAUUGUUAACUGCCCAUUCACUCACCCUGCAUAGACAUUUCAGGAGGUAUCAGCUACCGAGGAGUAAAAGAAAUAAAGACACGUUUUGUGUUCAUAUCACAACCUUCACCCCUUGCCUUUGCAUCGUUUAUGCCCAAAUAUUUCCUAAGUGAUGAUGUUGGAUUGUCUCUAAACAUAUCGUUCAUUCAAAAGAGGAAGCCUUGUCCUUUGUGUGGGUCACUCUCACUUCUUACAUUAUGAAGUUUGUGUCAUCUUUCAGUGUCCAGUUUAUGUUCUUAAUUGUACUGCUUUAUUUUUUUGAGUCAUCACAUUUAGUCAGACAUCUACAAUGUAUAUAAUAAAGGUGUAAGUAAAUAUGUGGAUGACUGUAUCCGGUGCUAGAAUUCCAUUGCAGUCAAGGAAGAGGAAGUUACAACAUAGAUUAAAUGCAAAAAAAAAUGUUAUAAUAGAUCACUUGCAGUUACCAUAGUGAGGAAAAAUACAGUCUAGGUUACCCAUGUAGUCUGUUAGACCAGGUCAGGCAGUCAUAUCAAAUUUGACUAAAAUUAUAACUGGUAAAAAAGGAGUGUCAUGAAGGAUUUUUUUUUCUUAAACCGGGUUAGUAACCAGAGAAAUCGGGUUCCUUGAGGUGUUGUGUACUUGCUGUUGAAAGUGAGUGAAACUUCAAUUGGGCAAGAAGGUAAUAAAAUUGAUUAUCCAUUGUAGAUCAUUUUUUAAAAUUAUAACUGACUACCUCCCCCUGUAUUGUACACGUAAGACAGUAGAAACUAAUAAUAGUAAUCUUUAUUUGCCGAGCUCAUAACUAGUGUGCAGGUGAAAGAAAAUACAUGGGUAAAAGUAAAUGCAUAGUUGAAAAGAGAAAGUAUAAUCUUUAUUAUAGAAAGAUUCUCUAAUCCUCCUCCACUCAGCUUCAGCCAAAAAGAAAUUGUAGUAAUGUGGAUACUGAUUAAAGGAACUUUAAAGCCCAAAAAUUGAUAAAAGAAGGCAGAUCAAGACUGAUAAUGAACACAUUGGAGAAGGACGGUAAGGACUUAGGCCAGUCAGAAUGUAUGGCAAAAAUGUCUCCCCCAACUAGUACGUAGGUGAUGGUCUACACGCCUAUGAGUAAUGAGUCUAGUUUAGAGAGAUAGAAUACAAAGUGAGUAAUUACCUAAAUUGAUCAGCAUUAUGAUAAUUUCAUAGAACGAAGAAAUUUGUGACCGUUCGCCUCUCCAAGAUCUGAUAAAAGUGCAUUGCUUCACUAUAAAUGAAGAAAUGCUAUCAUGUUUUUAUAUGUUUCUUUCUAAAAGCCUGUAUAUAUUCUGUACAUAAUUGACUGAUUGUUUGUUUUACAUUAAGCCUGUUUAUUGUUGACGGUUUGAGAAUCUUAGAUAAUUAUUUUCUCUUGUUGCUGCAUGAGAACUUUGAACAACUCUUAACCCAUCAGGUUUUGUAAGUGUGACCUCCUCCUUGCGUUGCUCGUGAGGGGCUGACUAGGAGAAGGUCCCACCCGGCAGAACUUUGAGUGGGCUGCCCGUCCCAAGGUGUCCGAAUGCAGUCUCAAGUUUCCUAAGCAACUCUCUUCUUCUUCUUGUGGACUAGGAUAUAGGAACCAUUAAGAGGGGGCGGGCAUCCCAACCAUAUGCUUCAUACUUUAUCUAGGAAAACCUCUAGAGCAUUAUUUGCUUGCUAGAUUACAAAAGAUAUUGGAAUAAAUGACCAUUAAACAUUUCAGAACGGCCGUAGUUCCUCAAAAUGCUGUAACCUCUUCAGCUAUUUACGACUCUGCUUAAUAUAGAGAGACAAUGUAGUUGAUCCAAGACUGGGAUAGUCCACUGUGAUGUGAUCAGCCAUUUUGACCUUUGAAAUAUGAUAUCAGUUUUGAAUAUCAAGAAUCAGCUUCAUCAAACUUCCUUCUUAUGCGAAUGCGAGGUCAAAAUAACUGAUCAGAUCUCAAAUCUUGUUGGUAGAUUCUUCUGUUGCAUCAUAAUACAUCAAGCCAGUUUUUGGAUACUAUGUCCUGAUAUGUGAUGAUGGAAUUGGUUGUUACAAGGAUUAAAUGAGAACAUAUUUUUACAAGGAUUCGUUUACUCUGUUUAAACUGUCAAUGUAAAUUUUCUUCAGAAUUUAAUCUUUUAUAAUAGCAAUUCCAUCUCGAAAUGCAGCAGUAAUUCUUCUCUUAAGUCUUUUCUCUUCAUUGUCUCUUUACAUAAUAAGGUGCCAUGUACUCCCAAGUUAUCUUACUGGCUCCCUCUUUCUCCCUCUUUAUUAUAUUGUAUCUAUGUUACUUUGCUUCAAACAGUUGUUUUCUUUGUCCACUCAAGGAAAGAAAAUAUUGUUAGCAAACUGCAGCUACCAAUGACAUUGCCAACUCUUUCCAUUCUUUUCAGAAUUAUUAGUAGUGGUAUAGGGUUUCAAAUUAUUGAGACUUUCUCUAUUUAACUUUAUAAUGACUGCCUGUUAUUGUAUAUAAUACAAAUAAAAGUUGUUGGUUAAAUAAUGUAACAACAAUUCAUCAUCGUCAUCCAUUCCAAAUCAAAAUGAAGGCAGAUGAGCUGUAAUUAUGAGAAUACUAGUCCACCUAAUUAUUCCAGGUAUUAUUGAUUAGGCUCUCCCUUUCCAUAUUAAUCCCUCCUUAUCCUUAAAGUACCCGAGGCUCAGGAAAAGACAAUGAGAACCCACCAUGUUAGACUCAGAGAGAAAGUGAGAGAGGAAGAGAGAAUGGUUGGAGUUUCACAUACUGCAGUUAGAAAAAAAUAGUCAAUGGUAAACUCAUCCCAUCCAAAAACUGGUGAAAGGGGUUUACGUUGUCUCCUGCUGAACUUCAGAACAAUAUCCGCUUCAAUCAGAGACGUCAAUGGGUUUCCGAGUCGUAAGGGUUGUCAAAGGGAAAGGGAG